UGACCUUGGGUGCUGUGUUCAUUUUGAUUGUUGAAGUUUUGUGCUUUUCCUACCCGUUUAUCGCAUAGAAAUAUUUUUUACCGUAGGUGUACGAAGAUCAAGUCAAAACAACACGCAAUGUCAAAUGGUGAAAAUGUUUAAAUUUAAAAGAAGGUUUACUCCAUCAUGGAA